CUUUGGACCGCAUGUGCAUGUGUUUAUGUUUUGAAACUGUCAAAUAUGAGGUGUAUACUCAUUUUUGACCAGUUAAGUGAUAUAUUGUACACAAAAUAUGAUAGAAAGUUUCUUAAACACUUGAAAAAAUUGGCUACACAACAAGGACUUAUUCGGGAAGGAAAGGAUGAAGACGAGAUUAGCCCAAAUAUCAUUAUUCAGAUAUUUUCUCCGAUAGUAGCAUCUCAGAGGAUUAUGGGAUGCCAAUUUGGAAAUUCGUAUACUUCUAUACAGUGUCAGGAUGGUACAAAUAUGGUAUUUGAUGAGUACAUGGGAUAUUUGUUCGUACACAUUGGUCUGAAGAAUGUUACAUGGCUAAAAAGAAUGCUGGGAAUUUGCAUUACUGUGGUAAAACACCUCUGUGGACCAGAUGUCUCAAUUUUAAAAAGUAACAAAAAUCGGGCAGCUUUAUUAUCUCGCCUCCUUGAUACUUGGACACUUCUACAAGAUACGGAUCAGGCUGUACUUGUGGAAGCAGUGGAGCAGCUGAUGGUGAAUGUGGACUUAAGUUCGGCAACUUUGAGAACACUUCAAGAAGCAACAGAGAAACUCAAAACAUGUCCAGAUUUCUCUAAACUUCAUACAAUGAUUCUUGUGGAGAACAAGUUUCUUUCACUUUAUUCAAGUCGUAACGCCCAGGACCUGUCACCACAUGAUAUAAUAUUUCUGAGCUUACUGUGUGAAGCCCACUACAUGAUGCCAAGUGGAACACGUCCUUCUGAAGCAACUGAAAGUGAUUCAAGUGAAGAGUUCUACAGCCCUGCUGGUAGUCCUCGUGAUAGUCCACACCAUACAAAAAAACAGCUUGCAACCUCUCUUACAGUUAGUGUGGACAUGUUUGAUGGCAGCUGUGAACAAGAUGUCCUCAAUACACAACUUGUCCUAUUAACUGGUGGUUGUUCUGUGUACACUCCACAUAUUGUACACAUAACUUCAGUUGAGGAUGGUGUAUAUCUGCUGUUUAUAAUUGAGACACAUGGUGCUUCAGUUGCUUCUGGCCUGUGUGAAGCCUUUGGGGCCAUAAACGAACUGCAAAAUGUGCAGCUCCAGAGGGAUAUAGAUGAACUGAGACAUUCUUUUGAUAAUUUAGAUUCCAGUAUAAAGAAAAUUUUGGAAGGAUAUAAAAAACUACGCUCCUCAAAACAUGAAAUAGAAAUUAGCUACAAAAAACUUACCAGUAAAUGGGACUUCCUAAGGAAAAAAUACAUUGAAUAUAUAAAAACUCAAGACAGUGAGUGUAUACUCAGAAUAGAAUCAAGUACAGCUAGCUUCAUUGAUGUAUUGAAGGAAAUGCUGCAACUUACAUGCUGGGAUACAUCUCUGAUGCACCAAGGGAAGGAACUGCUGUUGACUGUUGCAAACCAUGUGAAGCAGAAGUUAUCUCAUUUCAGCGAAUUUCUUAAAGUCAAAGCCUUAAGAAACUUUACGUUGGGAUCUAGAGCUUCUCUUACAAUCAACAAAUACUUGGAAGAAUUUCCAGGCCUUGUACAUUUUCUGUAUAUAGAUAGAACAAAUCACCGUAUCACUGCUCCCGGUCUUGACUUCAGCUCUGAAGAAACGAUAACUCUUACCAAAAAAAACAGAUCUGGUCCAUGGUGGAUUUCAGCCGAGCCCAUUUACAAGAGGGCCACCUAGCUAUUAUGUGGAAAGAUACAACAUUCAAUUAUGCAUACUUCUUGUGGUUUGAAGAUGCAUCCGGAGCUCCUCUGAAACCAAAAAGUUUCCAACCAUCAGCUCUGAAAUCACUCCCAGUACCAGGAGUGCUAUGUGGAGAUUUUUACAA
rnacentral:misc_RNA from 1 species